rnacentral:rRNA from 1 species
CAUCAGCGGCAGACGGGUGAGUAACACGUAGGUAACCUACCCCAGAGACAGGGAUAACGGUAGGAGACGAAGGCUAAUACCGGAUGACCUCCGGAAGGAGGAAAGGCUCAGGCGCUCUGGGAGGGGCUUGCGGCCCAUCAGCUAGUUGGUAGGGUAAAGGCCUACCAAGGCGAAGACGGGUAGGGGGUGUGAGAGCACGGCCCCCCACAAUGGGACUGAAACACGGNCCAUACUCCUACGGGAGGCAGCAGGAGGGAAUAUUGCACAAUAGGCGAAAGCCUGAUGCAGCGACGCCGCGUGAGUGAAGAAGGCCUUCGGGUCGUAAAGCUCUUUUGUAGGGGAAGAGGAAGGACGGUACCCUAAGAAGAAGCGUCGGCUAACUACGUGCCAGCAGCCGCGGUAAGACGUACGACGCGAGCGUUAUCCGGAAUUACUGGGCGUAAAGGGCCAGCAGGCGGCUUGGUAAGUUGUGCGUGAAAGCCUCGUGCUCAACGCGAGGAAGCCGGACGAUACUGUCAAGCUAGAGGGCAUCAGAGGGGAGUGGAAUUCCCGGAGUAGCGGUAAAAUGCGCAGAUAUCGGGAGGAACACCGAUGGCGAAAGCAGCUCAGUGGGAUGCACCUGACGCUAAGAGGCGAAAGCUAAGGGAGCGAAC